rnacentral:rRNA from 1 species
UACGUAGGCAGCAAGCGUUGUUCGGAGUUACUGGGCGUAAAGGGUGCGUAGGCGGUUGUUUAAGUUUGGUGUGAAAUCUCCCGGCUCAACUGGGAGGGUGCGCCGAAUACUGAAUGACUAGAGUGCGGGAGAGGAGAGUGGAAUUCCUGGUGGUAGCGGUGAAAUGCGUAGAUAUCAGGAGGAACACCGGUGGUGUAGACGGCUCUCUGGACCGUAACUGACGCUGAGGCACGAAAGCGUGGGUAGCAAACAGG